GAAGAAGUCUACGUGACCAUCAUCAUCAUCAAGCCCUUCCGUGGACUGCUUUGCAGUUAUUGGAGGGGCAUCAUUGCAAGGUCAGGUCUGUAGCAUUCUAUCCUGUGCCCUGAUGAAUGAGCUGUCAACUGGAAUAAAUUGGGCUGGGGAAAAGAGUCAAGGAUGGCAGCAAAAGGAAACAUACAUUUAAAGGCACAGCACUUCAGAUAUGCAUAUUUGAUGCCUCGAAACUGUGAAUGGGGGAGGAAAAUGUGUCCGAGUAAGAAUUUGCAGAUGCUGUCAAAAAAUUGCACAGAUUGC